UACGUAGGGGGCUAGCGUUAUCCAGAAUUACUGGGCGUAAAGCGCGUGUAGGCGGCUGGUUAAGUGUGAUGUGAAAUCCUUGGGCUCAACCCGAGAACUGCAUUGCAAACUGGCCUGGCUAGAGUGCAGGAGAGGGAAGCGGAAUUCCAGGUGUAGCGGUGAAAUGCGCAGAUAUCAGGAAGAACACCCGUGGCUAAGGCGGCUCUCUAGUACGGUACUGACGCUGAGACGCGAAAGCGUGGGGAGCGAACAGG
rnacentral:rRNA from 1 species